rnacentral:rRNA from 1 species
AGAGUUUGAUCCUGGCUCAGGAUGAACGCUGGCGGCGUGCUUAACACAUGCAAGUCGAACGGGAUCCAUCAAGCUUGCUUGGUGGUGAGAGUGGCGAACGGGUGAGUAAUGCGUGACCGACCUGCCCCAUACACCGGAAUAGCUCCUGGAAACGGGUGGUAAUGCCGGAUGUUCCAGUUGAUCGCAUGGUCUUCUGGGAAAGCUUUCGCGGUAUGGGAUGGGGUCGCGUCCUAUCAGCUUGACGGCGGGGUAACGGCCCACCGUGGCUUCGACGGGUAGCCGGCCUGAGAGGGCGACCGGCCACAUUGGGACUGAGAUACGGCCCAGACUCCUACGGGAGGCAGCAGUGGGGAAUAUUGCACAAUGGGCGCAAGCCUGAUGCAGCGACGCCGCGUGAGGGAUGGAGGCCUUCGGGUUGUAAACCUCUUUUAUCGGGGAGCAAGCGAGAGUGAGUUUACCCGUUGAAUAAGCACCGGCUAACUACGUGCCAGCAGCCGCGGUAAUACGUAGGUGGCAAGCGUUAUCCGGAUUUAUUGGGCGUAAAGGGAACGCAGGCGGUCUUUUAAGUCUGAUGUGAAAGCCUUCGGCUUAACCGGAGUAGUGCAUUGGAAACUGGGAGACUUGAGUGCAGAAGAGGAGAGUGGAACUCCAUGUGUAGCGGUGAAAUGCGUAGAUAUAUGGAAGAACACCAGUGGCGAAAGCGGCUCUCUGGUCUGUAACUGACGCUGAGGUUCGAAAGCGUGGGUAGCAAACAGGAUUAGAUACCCUGGUAGUCCACGCCGUAAACGAUGAAUGCUAAGUGUUGGAGGGUUUCCGCCCUUCAGUGCUGCAGCUAACGCAAUAAGCAUUCCGCCUGGGGAGUACGACCGCAAGGUUGAAACUCAAAGGAAUUGACGGGGGCCCGCACAAGCGGAGGAACAUGUGGUUUAAUUCGAUGAUACGCGAGGAACCUUACCCGGGCUUGAAUUGCAGAGGAAGGAUUUGGAGACAAUGACGCCCUUCGGGGCCUCUGUGA